UACGUAGGGGGCAAGCGUUGUCCGGAAUUAUUGGGCGUAAAGCGCGCGCAGGCGGUCAUUUAAGUCUGGUGUUUAAUCCUAGGGCUCAACCCUAGGUCGCAUUGGAAACUGGGUGACUUGAGUACAGAAGAGGAAAGUGGAAUUCCACGUGUAGCGGUGAAAUGCGUAGAGAUGUGGAGGAACACCGGUGGCGAAGGCGGUUCUCUGGGCCUGUACUGACGCUGAGGAGCGAAAGCGUGGGGAGCGAACAGG
rnacentral:rRNA from 1 species